CUCUCUAUAUAAAGCAGCCGCUCUGUAGCCCCAUCAUCACCAUCUUCACCAUUUUGGUUUCACACACAUAUCUUUAUUGUCUUUGUUGUUGUUGUACAAGAUGAGAGCUUCCAUUGGAGUAGUACUUUUUCUGCUUCUCAUCUCUUAUGCCUUCUCCUCAUCUUCUGCUGUGCCUGCAACCAGAGGUCUCAAGUUAAUCAAGCAAAACCCAUUUCCAAUCCAAGAUUUAGUGGCUCAGGGUACCAUGGAAUUGAGUGGUGAUGAUGGAGAAGUAUUUGAGAUUGGAUCAUCAGAAGAAGAAUUCAUUGAAGGAAGAAUGGAUAUGGAGAGCACAGACUAUCCAGGCACAGGAGCAAACAACCACCAUGACCCAAAAACCCCUGGAAGAGCUUAAUAAUUACAAUGUCCAAACAUCUAGUAUAUAUUUAUAUUUAAUUAUCUUCACAAACAUAUAUAUAUAUAUAUAUAAUAUGUAUAGGCCAAUAAUUUUGGGAAAAAAAAGGGUUAAGGGAGAAUCUAUAUCUUGGUUUUGGGUUAUCUUUAUCUUUAUUAAUCACUAGUAUUAAUUUGCCUGGUUUUCUGUUUAUUCCAAGUUAUGAAGGAUUAAUUGCAUGUUUAAUUUCUUCUAUAUAUAAAUAUUUAUAGACUUGAGUACUAACUAUUAUUGAUGUAGAAGUGGAGAGGCAAAUGAGAUGGGCAUUCAUUAUUAUAUGUACAAGGAAGUUAGUGUUAUGUUGUUGUGGGUACCAAUACUUUAGUGUGCUUUUGUAAUAAUUGUAAUAUUACUAUUGGAGUUGAAGUAAUAUAUAUCAAAGCAAUCAAGUAA